GAUGAACGCUGGCGGCGUGCCUAAUACAUGCAAGUCGAACGAGGCCCUUUGUAUUCGUACGAAGGUGUCCUAGUGGCGAACGGGUGAGUAACACGUUGGUGACCUGCCCCGAAGAAGGGGAUAACUCCGGGAAACUGGAGCUAAUACCCUAUGUGCUCCAAGGAGUUAGAGGGCCUUGGAGUAAAGGAGCAAUCCGCUUUGGGAGGGGCCUGCGGCCCAUCAGCUAGUUGGUAGGGUAACGGCCUACCAAGGCUAUGACGGGUAGGGGACCUGAGAGGGUGGCCCCCCACAAUGGCACUGAAACACGGGCCAUACAUCUACGGAUGGCAGCAGUACGGAGUAUUGCACAAUGGGCGAAAGCCUGAUGCACCAACGCCGCGUGCG
rnacentral:rRNA from 1 species